rnacentral:rRNA from 1 species
UACGAAGGGGGCUAGCGUUGUUCGGAAUUACUGGGCGUAAAGCGCACGUAGGCGGAUCGAUCAGUCAGGGGUGAAAUCCCAGAGCUCAACUCUGGAACUGCCUUUGAUACUGUCGAUCUGGAGUAUGGAAGAGGUGAGUGGAAUUCCGAGUGUAGAGGUGAAAUUCGUAAGAUAUUCGGAGGAACACCAGUGGCGAAGGCGGCUACCUGGCCCAAUACUG